GCCGCUGAGAAUAUGCAUGGGUAUCAC
rnacentral:piRNA from 1 species